rnacentral:misc_RNA from 1 species
AACGAGGCCGACCUGCGGCUGAGUUACCUGCGGAGGGAUCAUUACUGAGUGUAAAAACUCCCAAACCCAUUGUGAACAUACCACUGUUGCUUCGGCGGAUACGCCCCGGGCGCGCUCUUCACAGGGCGUGCCCCGGAACCAGGCGCCCGCCGGGGGACCGAAACUCUUGUUUUCUUAGGAUCUCUGAGUGUGAUUAUUAAAUAAAUCAAAACUUUUAACAAUGGAUCUCAGAUCGGAAGA